rnacentral:lncRNA from 1 species
GGUGGUGGAUGAGCUGCAGCUCAGGAGAACCAUGGAAAGAUGGAGUUCAUUUUACCCAUACUGACAUCCAGCAAUGUAUUUUUCCUAGGGCUCAGGGAGAAGUCAUUUUACUUCCUCUGAGUAAGAGGCAGGGGUAGGGAGUUGCGGAGGAGAGAAGAGAGAAUGUUGACUGGGAGAACAGAGAUGGGCUCCACUCCCAGUCCUGGUUUUCUGUAGCAUCUCCAUGGUCUGCCAUCACUUACCGAGUAUCUGAAGCUAUAGAAGCCAUUAGGACCCACCCCCACCUCCCUCUGAGAUAUGAACAGAGCUCAACUUCAGCAAGACCUCUCCAGGACAGACUGGAAGGAGAAGUGAUAAGACACAGGAGAUGAGCACACAGAGGGGUGAGGAAUGAUGAGAGGCAGGGAAAGGGAAGGCAGCACACACCCAGUGUGUGGUCGGCACAUUCAAUGUAGAUAUUUGGUGGGCAGAUGGUCUCGUUGCCUGAAAGGAGAGAAGAACAGUUCUGAGAUCUACAGUCCUUUCCCUUCUCCCUCACCACACACCUGUGUAGACAUCUACAUGUAUGCAUGUUUACACAUAUGCAUAACAGUUCAAUGUAUAUACACACACACACGCAUAAAAACAGUAAAAAUGCAUACAUACACAUAUGCAGGUAAUUGCACAUUUGCUUACACAAUCAUGUUACAGUCUUCGGGUCAUGCACACAGCCCCAAAACACAUACCCACGAAUAUAUAUUAGCAUGCACGCAAGCAUGCACAUCUAUGCGCUCCCAAGUAUACGAACCCAUGUGUAAGUAUCCAGACAUACACAUGAGCACACGCUCAUGCGUGUAGAUGCGUGUACAUGUGGUACGCAUGCAUCUCUGCCUCCUGGAAGUUCGGGAGCUCAGAAGAGUGGCACCAAAGACUGGCUGGAGGUGCCCACCUGGCAUGUGCACCAUCCGGCAGUGGCAGCGCUGAAGCACGGCCUCCUUCUCACAGCGCAGUCGGCAGGCAGACACACUAUAGGCUGAGUAGCCCUGAAGCUCAGGCUCCCUGAGCUCGCUUUCCGCCCGGCAGUUGCCCCAAGGCUGGGGCAGAUAAGUUAGCUGCAGAGAUGGGGCAUGACAAGGUCAAGGCCAAGCGUGUCCAUCAGGGCCAGUCCUCCAGUGUCAAUAGCCCCAGCCAGGGCCAUGGGGCUGGCAGACUGAGUAUCUGCCAGGCAGAUGUGGCCAGCAUCCCUUUAAGCAGUGAGUUGCCCUGUGCCCAGCCUAGGCCUAGCUGGGGAUGCUCACCCGCUGUUCCUGGCAGGACACAAAAGUCUGGAAGCCUGGGGACACGCCAAACCCCAGCUGGUGGAUGUAGGGCGGCUCCUCCUGGCUGUGGAUCUGCACCCGGAUCCCUGCCUCGAAUGACGUCUCGUCUGCACAGCAGAGAUGAGAGGCUUCAGACCCCCCUUCAGGGGUAGAGCCGAGCCCAGGCCCCAUCCCUGAGCUGGCCCUUAUCCCCUUCCCGCCUGCAUACUUGUCUCCCUCCAUAUGGGUAGGUAUUCCUCCUGCUGGAUGUCUAGCAUGAUCUCCAGGCCACUACCCAUGCCGCCUGCCCUACUGGGCAGUGAACUCUGAGGAUCUGCAUUAAAGGUGUAACACUUCCCAUAGCGAGUAUAGACCUGGAGGGAGAAAGAACACAGCAGACACAGAACUCUUAAUAUUUUUUUGGCAGGUUUUUACUGUGUAGUUGAGAUUGGAUCUGCUCCUCCCCAGGGCCUUGCAGUAACCCAGAAAUUCCCCUGCCCAAGAUUUGCUACACUGUGUAGCUACAAGAACUCCCUGUGUAGCCGGCCUUGAAUUCCCAAUCCUCCUGCUUUAACCACCCAAGAGCUGGGAGUACAGAGAUUCACCACCACACCAGGCUCAGAACUCUUGCUAUCCUAUCAAUCCUGCUCUCCCUUUCCUGAGUAAAGGGUCCUCCUAUUGCUACUUAGGGUCUUUUGAGUAAGGAUCCUUAAAGUCUGCAUCUCCCCCACUCCCAAAACAAUUCUAAAAUGGUCUACCUCCUCGGGCUCCCUUCAUCCAUUCCUUUCCUCUGUUUUCCACACAGCAGUCAAAACACUCAAACCAACCAAGUCCCCUGCCAGAUUCUAGUCUCUGUAGUGCACACAUCAUGUUGUAAAACUCAAGUAUACACAAUAAAGCUUAUUUUAUUCUUUG